GCAGGACACAUUGAACAUCGACAUCUUGAACGCAUAUUGCGGCCUAGGGUCACUCCCUUGGCCACGCCUGUCUCAGGGUCGGUGAAACAUCUUCGCAAGAAAUUGCUCUGUAUGCUUGCGCAUUGGGCUGUCGAAGUACUUCGGUACUCCGUCGCCUCAAGUUCAGACCCGAUUGCCUCGGCACGUCGUCUGACGGUCUCGACCAUUCAUGACGUAGCUCGCUGUUCUGUGUGAAGCACUGCGCCGGUCCAAGACUUGUCGAUGGAUGACUUACACGGGAGCGAUCGAAACUUUUUGAUUUAGGUUUCACACCUUCUCUCAUCCGACCUGAGAUCAGACGAGACAACCCCCUGAAUUUAAGCAUAUCACUAAGGGGAGGAAAAGAAACUAACUAGGAUUCCCUCAGUAACGGCGAGUGAAGCGGGAAAAGCCCAGCACCGAAUCCCUCGGCCUCGCGCCGCUGGGACCUGUGGUGUUUAGGACGCCUCACUGCGGUGGGGUACGGGUGCCCAAGUCCUUCUGAUCGGGGCCUCUCCCAUAGCGGGUGUCAGGCCUUUACGGGCACUCGUCCUUCUGCUAAGAACGUCCUUGG
rnacentral:rRNA from 2 species